rnacentral:misc_RNA from 1 species
GAUGAAGAACGUAGCGAAAUGCGAUAAGUAAUGUGAAUUGCAGAAUUCAGUGAAUCAUCGAAUCUUUGAACGCAUCUUGCGCUCCUUGGUAUUCCUUGGAGCAUGCCCGUUUGAGUAUCAUGAGCAAAUCUCAAAGUCAAUUCCUUUUGUUAAUUCAAUUGGUUUUGCUUUGGACUUGGAGGUCUUGCAGAUUUCACAGUCUGCUCCUCUUAAAUGCAUUAGCUGGAUCUCAGUAAUUAUGCUUGGUUCCACUCGGCGUGAUAAGUAUCACUCGCUGAGGACACUGUUAAAAAGGUGGCCAGGAAAAUACUGAUUGAACCGCUUCUAACGGUCUAUUAAGUUAGACAAUUGACCCCUUAAGUUUGAUCUCAAAUCAGGUAGGACUACCCGCUGAACUUAAGCAUAUCAAUAAGCGGAGGA